ACGCUUUGUCGUUGGAUCCGAGCCCAUGGAGGAAGUUGGAGCUGUAGAGCUGUAUGUUUUUGGACAAAGUCAUCAAUUCCAUUGCUCUUCCUAUGCCAAGUGGCCAGGAUAAUGGUUGAAAUUGCUACAAUAAAGGUUAUGAUCAACAA